rnacentral:rRNA from 1 species
UACGGAGGGUGCGAGCGUUGUCCGGAAUCACUGGGCGUAAAGGGCGCGUAGGCGGCUCAUGAAGGCUGUGGUGAAAGUCCGGGGCUCAACCUCGGAUCGGCCGUGGCGACUCGUGGGGCUGGAGCACUGUAGAGGCGGGUGGAAUUCCGGGUGUAGCGGUGGAAUGCGUAGAGAUCCGGAAGAACACCAGUGGCGAAGGCGGCACUCUGGGACGGUACUGACGCUGAGACGCGAAAGCGUGGGGAGCGAACAGG